GGCACAAGCGGUGGAGCAUGUGGUUUAAUUUCGAUGAUACGCGAGGAACCUUACCUGGGCUCAAAUGUAUGUUGACGUAUUCUGAAAGGGAUACUUCUUCGGACAAUAUACAAGGUGCUGCAUGGUUGUCGUCAGCUCGUGCCGUGAGGUGUCGGGUUAAGUCCCAUAACGAGCGCAACCCCUAUCAUUAGUUGCCAUCAGGUCAAGCUGGGGACUCUAAUGAAACUGCCUACGCAAGUAGUGAGGAAGGUGGGGAUGACGUCAAAUCAGCACGGCCCUUACGUCCAGGGCUACACACGUGCUACAAUGGCCGGUACAAAGGGCAGCUACCUGGUGACAGGAUGCUAAUCUCAAAAGCCGGUCUCAGUUCGGAUCGGAGUCUGCAACCCGACUCCGUGAAGCUGGAAUCGCUAGUAACCGCAGAUCAGCUACGUUGCGGUGAAUACGUUCCCGGGCCUU
rnacentral:rRNA from 1 species